rnacentral:rRNA from 1 species
UCCGCAUCCUGAGAUGAGCUGUGACAGCGAGUGAAGCUACGGCGGAUCGAAGCGGAUGUAAUCAAGGUGCCGGGAAAUACUGUCUAAGGCUAGGUUGGGAAAGACCGUACCGCAAUCCGACACAGGUAGGUGAGAUGAGUAAUCUCAGGCGCUCGAGAGAACUCGCGUUAAGGAACUCGGCAAAAUGCACACGUAACUUCGGAAGAAGUGUGGCCCCUGUUUGGUUAAAGAGUGGGGGUGGCACAGAGCAGGCCCAGGCGACUGUUUAUCAAAAACACAGCCAUCUGCGAACCAGUAAUGGGACGUAUAGGUGGUGACACCUGCCCGGUGCUGGAAGGUUAAGAGGAGAGGUUAGGGGAGCCCCGAAGCUUUGAAUCGAAGCCCCAGUAAACGGCGGCCGUAACUAUAACGGUCCUAAGGUAGCGAAAUUCCUUGUCGGGUAAGUUCCGACCCGCACGAAUGGUGUAACGAUUCUGGGCACUGUCUCAACGCGAGACUCGGUGAAAUUUAUAUACCGGUAAAGAAGCCGGUUACCCAUAGUUAGACGGAAAGACCCCGUGAACCUUCACCGUAACUUAUUAUUGGGACUUGAUUUAGCAUGUGUAGAAUAGGUGGGAGACUGCGAGACGUGGCCGUUAGGUUGCGUGGAGUCGGAAUGUGAAAUACCACCCUUGCUGAAUUAGGUUUCUAACCCUAGCCAUGAAUCUGGUGUGGGGACAAUGAUAGGUGGGCGGUUUGACUGGGGCGGUCGCCUCCUAAAGAGUAACGGAGGUGCGCGAAGGUCUCCUCGCGCCGGUUGGAAAUCGGCGUACGAGUGUAAAGGCACAAGGAGGCUUGACUGCGAGACUGACAGGUCGAGCAGGUACGAAAGUAGGUCUUAGUGAUCUGGUGGUUGCGAGUGGAAGCGCCAUCACUUAACGGACAAAAGGUACUCCGGGGAUAACAGGCUGAUUUUCCCCAAGAGUUCACAUCGACGGGAAAGUUUGGCACCUCGAUGUCGGCUCAUCGCAUCCUGGGGCUGAAGCAGGUCCCAAGGGUUUGGCUGUUCGCCAAUUAAAGCGGUACGUGAGCUGGGUUCUGAACGUCGCGAGACAGUUCGGUCCCUAUCUGCUAUGGGCGUUGGAUGAUUGAGAGGAGCUGCAUUUAGUACGAGAGGACCGAUGUGGACGAACCUCUGGUGUACCUGUUGUUCUGCCAAGGGCAAGUGCAGGGUAGCUAAGUUCGGAAGGGAUAACCGCUGAAGGCAUCUAAGUGGGAAGCCCACCUCAAGAUUAAUCAUCCCUGGGGGUUCAACCCCCCUAAAGACUCCUGGAAGACUACCAGGUUGAUAGGUUGGAGGUCCAAGCGUCGUAAGGCGUUCAGCCGACCAAUACUAAUAAGUCGUGAGGCUUGACCAU